rnacentral:rRNA from 1 species
GGUUUGAGGAGCCCAAAAUGAUCGGGGCUAAAAUCUAACAACGAGACCUGGCCGUGCCCUUGACAGGGGCAACCGCGUAGGUUGGCGUACUGGUCGGACGGAAGGCCGGGCGAGAGCUCGUGUGGACCGUCCAGUAACGACAAUCCUGGUCACAGUAGCAGCGAUAGUCGGGUGAGAACCUCGACGGCCUGACGAGCAAGGGUUCCUCGGCACUGCCGUUCAGCCGAGGGUUAGCCGGUCCUAAGGUGUACCACAACUUGACUACACCGACGGGAAGCUGGUUAAUAUUCCAGCGCAAUCGUGCAGUAAACGCCGACGCCGUGUGGAACGCUGAGCCGGGAACUCGCCCGGUCGAAUCGUGGAAACUCGUGGACGCCGUCACGGCACGAAGCGAGCGAAACGCGAAACAGCGAAAGUCAGCCGUACAUAGGGC